AGCGCAGGUGGGAAUGUAAGUCUUUCUUAAAAGUGCGGGGCUCAACCCCGUGAUGGGAAAGAAACUAUAUUUCUUGAGUGCAGGAGAGGAAAGCGGAAUUCCUAGUGUAGCGGUGAAAUGCGUAGAUAUUAGGAAGAACACCAGUGGCGAAGGCGACUUUCUGGACGAAAACUGACGCUGAGGCGCGAAAGCCAGGGGAGCGAACG
rnacentral:rRNA from 1 species